rnacentral:rRNA from 1 species
UACGAAGGGUGCAACCGUUGCUCGGAAUCAUUGGGCGUAAAGCGCACGUAGGCGGCUUCGCAAGUCGGAUGUGAAAUCCCGUGGCUCAACCAUGGACGUGCAUCCGAAACUGCGAGGCUUGAGUAUGGAAGAGGGUCGCGGAAUUCCCGGUGUAGAGGUGAAAUUCGUAGAUAUCGGGAGGAACACCAGUGGCGAAGGCGGCGACCUGGGCCAAUACUGACGCUGAGGUGCGAAAGCCAGGGGAGCAAACGGG